rnacentral:rRNA from 1 species
UACAGAGGGUGCAAGCGUUGUUCGGAAUUAUUGGGCGUAAAGGGAGUGUAGGCUGUUUCUUAAGUCUACUGUGAAAUCUACGGGCUUAGCCUGUAACGUGCAGAGGAAACUGGGGGACUUGAGUGUCGGAGAGGGUAGCGGAAUUCCCGGUGUAGAGGUGAAAUUCGUAGAGAUCGGGAGGAACACCAGUGGCGAAGGCGGCUACCUGGCUGACAACUGACGCUGAGACUCGAAAGCAUGGGGAGCAAACAGG